rnacentral:rRNA from 1 species
UACGUAGGGUGCGAGCGUUGUCCGGAAUUAUUGGGCGUAAAGGGCUCGUAGGCGGUCUGUCGCGUCGGGAGUGAAAACUCAGGGCUUAACCCUGAGCCUGCUUCCGAUACGGGCAGACUAGAGGUAUGCAGGGGAGAACGGAAUUCCUGGUGUAGCGGUGAAAUGCGCAGAUAUCAGGAGGAACACCGGUGGCGAAGGCGGGUCUCUGGGCAAUAACUGACGCUGAGGAGCGAAAGCGUGGGGAGCGAACAGG